GCUGACUCUGUGUUACUGCGAUCAAAGUUGUGAUUUCCUUCUUGCUAAGCCUCGUACAAGUACUGACUUGAAUGAAAACGUUAAACAAAGUGUAAAAUAAAAUAAAUUAAAUAUGCAAAAUUAAUGCCCCUCGAAAUUGUAGAACCAUUUACAAUCCAGUUAGUACGUACAAUGGGCCUAAUUCCCCCAGCCUAUCUGCCGAGGUUCAGAAUAAAGUUUAACUUAUUAAAUCAUUGGAAUAUUGAUGAUAUGUUUUAGACUGUCUGUCUCAAUUAUGAUUGUAAGUUUGACUACGCUCUGAUAAGAAAUAAAGAUAAGUGAAAUCGACACAAAAAGGCAAGAAGAUAAAAGAUGAGACGAAAGAUAUUACAAAGUUUGUAACGGUAAUGAAAAAUUAAAGCUGGUAUUCCAAAAACAAAAAUGUGCGAUGCAGAUAUGUUGCGCGUGUUUAUAACGUGUAACGGAUAAAGAUCUCUACUGCCUCCCACAACGCGCAAUACUGGUAUGCCUUAUAGCGCAACUGAAGCACUGUCUCUACGAGAAAGCCUUUUGUCCAAUGAAAUUAUUCAUCCGUUAGAUCUGCAGUAUGGCUAAAUUUGUUGAUAAAAUCCCAGUUCAAUUUAAUAGCAACAUAGCAUAGAGAAAAACCUUAUGAGAUAGAUGGUUUAAAGAAUAAUGCAGUGAUCAAUACUUCAAGUAAUAUUUUAAAUCUCUGAGAACAAUAUGCAUUGUUUUUAAACUCUUAUCAAUUACCGAUAUCAAAGUCUUCUGUGGUCCUCCAGCUGCAAUCAUACAGCUGCUAUUACGCGAAAUUAUGUACUUGUAUCUGCAGCUGGUUACUUUAGUGGGAGCGCAUUAACUGAAAAGUCCACCUGUAUACGCUUUGCCAAAAUUGUGCAGAGACCAGGAUUGUAACAAGUUCCAUGGGGAAUUUGUUCAUCACCUUUGCCAUAUUUCUUUGCAUCUCUCCGGGAUCAGCUCUCAAGUGUUACCGUUGUGAAAGUAGCGAAAGUUGGAUCGAGUGCGAUGAUAGUGCGAAGAAUAUUAUAACCUGCUCCGCUGGGCAGAGUCGGUGUGGCAAGGUAUUUAAACGAGCUGAUCAAAUAUCCACAUUCGCCAGAGGUUGUUUAUCUGCCAAGCAAUGCUACGAUGGACCAGAAAACUUUGAGCUAUGCAGAAAAGCACAAGAGAGGGGCUCCAAAGUCACAUGUCAGAUGUCAUGUUGUUCCGGUGAUCUUUGUAAUGGAGCUGCCCACAUGUCAGUUGUCGGCGGUCUUAUAUUGCUGACAUGCGCCGUAGUAGCCACUGUAGUUUAUAUUAGUAAGAUUUGACGCUUGUAUUAUUUCGCGACUAAUUAGCUUAAAGAGCUAAUAUUUUCUAAGUAUUAAAUCUGACACCGGUCCUGAAUUAUACCGUAAUUUUCUUGUGGCGUUAUCGCUUCAAAGAAUAUGAAGAUGAAUGUUAUUAGAAAAUUAGGAGUUGAUGUUGAUGCCAUUUGAUGGGAUGAAGAAGCAAAACAAAGUUAAAUUGCUACCUCGUAAUGUCUAGACGACUGACAGAAAAGUGCAUGUAAAAUUGCUCGUAAUUCUUAAAAUCUUGGGGUGUACACUGUUAUUAAUUAAAAAGAUAAAUAUGGUACAUUCAGCUCUAACAGUAGUUAUAAGAAUAUGGGAGAUUGGGCCCGUUCUAGCUUGAAUCUCCGGAAAGUUUAAUUUGGGGCAACUACUUACGUUCUAACACAAUACUGCAAAAUUAUAACAGAGCAAACUGGCAUAUGAAGCACUUAUGUAGUUCUUUUUUCGCUUGUUUGGUCACAACCGUCACAUAUGGUCUUAGUGUUCUAAACACAGUGGGGCUUGUCCACAUUGGGCUGCCUGUGGUUUGAAAAGGCGAUUCGAGUGGUCAGCGGUGGGUUGAUAAAUUCAAACUGGCGGAUGCCUUAGUGACCCGGAAGAAUUAAUACCACUUGAGAUAGCAACCACAGCCCGCAGCGGGCGCGAGGCUAAGCAUACCAGAUCGGGCUGACAUUUCCCGACGAAGAAAAAUUGAAACCAACCCCGCUGGUGAUAAGAACAUCCGUGGAAAAUAUUGUUGUUGUAACUCCUUUUAGCGGGUUAAACAUAAUCAUUUAUGAUAUUGAUUGUUAGGUUGAAUAGGGAGCGGAAAUCAAAAAAUCAAAUAAAAUAAAAAGGUUGCAACUCGUUUUAGCAGGCUAUUACAUACAUAUUCAGGAGUCAAGGAACAGUGGAAAAAGAUCAUGGAACAGCAUUUUCCGAAAUUCCGGAAAACGAGACGUUUGCGGCGAAGCAGGCGACGCAAGCGAAAAAUUUUGCCCGGCUGGGGAUUGGGGUCUAGGCGGUGUUUUUCAAAAGUAAAUAUGGCGGCCAAAGGGAAGAGAGCUACCAAAACGAAUGUGUUUUGGUCAAAAGAUCCUGAUGAUCAAGAUGAGAAGAUUGUGAAAGUUCACAUGCCAGGUCAGAUGAAAAGUGUAUCUGCUCUUAAUCUAUUGCAUGUGUAAAUUAUGGAGAGAUAAACCAUUAGCAGUGUGUUAAUACAAUGUAAUCUAUGCUUACAUACAGCUAUAAAUUUGUUGGUUCAAUAUGUUAGCUAACAAUCUGAAUAACGUGUGAAAGAUGGCAUGAAUUAUAGAAUCUGUUACAUUUCGCUGAUAAAUUAUCUGCACUUACAAUCAAGCCUACAAGAUCAUAGCAUGCAAAUAUAGGUUAUUGACCAAGCUUGUUUGGUCAAGAGGGCUGGAAAUUGGCCAAGUUCUUUUUUUGCAUGUUUAUGGA